GACGAACGCUGGCGGCGUGCUUAACACAUGCAAGUCGAACGGAAAGGCCCUGCUCGCAGGGUACUCGAGUGGCGAACGGGUGAGUAACACGUGGGUGAUCUGCCCUGCACUUUGGGAUAAGUUUGGGAAACUGGGUCUAAUACCGGAUAGGAGCCAUUUUUAGUGUGAUGGUUGGAAAGUUUUUUCGGUGUAGGAUGAGCUCGCGGCCUAUCUGCUUGUUGGUGGGGUAAUGGCCUACCAAGGCGGCGACGGGUAGCCGGCCUGAGAGGGUGGACGGCCACAUUGGGACUGAGAUACGGCCCAGACUCCUACGGGAGGCAGAAGUGGGGAAUAUGGAACAAUGGGGGAAAGCCUAAUGGAGAGACCCCGCGUGGGGGAUGAGGGCCUUCGGGUUGUAAGCGCCUUUCGCUAGGGAAGAGGAUUAUGUGACGGUACCGAGAGAAGAAGCACCGGAUAACUACGUG
rnacentral:rRNA from 1 species